rnacentral:lncRNA from 10 species
GGUUUUACCAUGUUGGCCAGGCUGGUCUCAAACUCCUGACCUCAGGUGAUCCACCCGCCUUGGCCUCCAAAGUGUUGGGGUUACAGGUGUUAGCCACCGCGCCCAGCCAAGGCUAUAUAUUUAUAAAUAUACACGUAAGUUAAUGUCCUCCUUAUAUAUUCCCUCCAGUUCACUGUGUCCUUCACUGUUGUGUUCAUUUUCACUGAUGCCUGCUGAUAGGA